rnacentral:rRNA from 1 species
AAUGAACGCUGGCGGCGUGGAUUAGGCAUGCAAGUCGAGCGAGAAAGGGGGGAGCAAUCCCCUGAGUAAAGCGGCGAACUGGUUAGUAUAAGAUGGGAAACGUGCCUUUCAGCCUGGGAUAACCCGUGGAAACACGGACUAAUACCGGAUGUGGUUCAGGGGUCUUCGGGCCUUUGGACUAAAGAUGCGGCAGUAAUGUUGUGUCACUGAAGAUCGUCCGUCCCGAUUAGCUAGUUGGNGGGGUAACGGCCUACCAAGGCGACGAUCGGUAGCUGGUCUGAGAGGAUGGUCAGCAACACUGGGACUGAGAUACGGGCCCAGACUCCUACGGGGAGCAGCAGUCUAGAGGCUUCGUCAAUGGGGGCAACCCUGAACGAGCGACGCCG